CUCGAGACAUACUUAUAUCUCUCUUUUCUGUGUCCCAAUAUUUUCCAGAUUAUUCAUAUGGGAGACAGAGGGUUCAUGGAGGCGUCUCAGAACUCUGAGGGCAAAGUUACUACAAUUACCUGGGGAGUCCCCACUGAAGCCCAAGACUUCUAAUAAACAGUCAAAGGGUUAGAAAAAGUAUCAUUAGGUGUUAACACAGACAUGAUCAUGGGAAUAAAAAUAUCUCCAUGUUCUAAAUAGUUUUUUCUUGCUUUAAGCUUUAGAGCUGCAUGAUAAAUGGAAAUUAUUUUUAUUUCCUUGUUUUUAGCAGUCAGUAAGAUAUCUUUACAGAUAGCAUAUACACGCAAUUAUGAAACUUCCCAAUGUUCUGUGUAUGACCUGCUCUAGUUGUUAAGUUGUGUUAGGAAACAGUUGACAUUCACCAGGAUGACACAUUGAACUUUCAUACAUGAGUAGCUCAUUUAGCAGACGGAGUAGGACCUGCCAAAGAUGGGGUACAUUGGCGCUGUGGCAGGCUUAUGCAAUGUAUGAUCAUAUAAUGUAACUAAACCACCAUUAUUUUUUGCCUAGAUUAGGUGUUUUUAAUAAAACUAACAAAAUUGUUCAGCACUAAAAUAACUGUUUAGUAGAUAAGUGAGUGAGCUGGAUUUUCAUUUUUACUGUACUUAUUGGCCCCCCGCAGUACCCCAUUUAAGUAUGUUUAGGUGAGUGCAGCCAAACCCUUGUUUUCUCACAUUGAACUUUCAUGCCUUGAUCUGCAUCAUCACUAAAACAUGUUUGUAUCAACUGACAUACUCCCCCCCACAUGGUAAUAUAGUUACGCCUGCACAGAAAUACGAAUAUUUAUUUUAAAUGCAACAUCAUUUAAAGGACAAGUUAAAAUAAAAUAAUAAUAAUGACACUGAUUAUUUAACCUUCCU